ACGCUCGACACCUACUGGAGGCAGCAGUGAGGAAUAUUGGUCAAUGGGCGCAGGCCUGAACCAGCCAAGUAGCGUGAAGGAUGACUGCCCUAUGGGUUGUAAACUUCUUUUAUAUGGGAAUAAAGUUUUCCACGUGUGGAAUUUUGUAUGUACCAUAUGAAUAAGGAUCGGCUAACUCCGUGUCAGCAGCCGCGGUAAUCUGAGCGGGCUGGCAAGGC
rnacentral:rRNA from 1 species